CGGAACAAAUCAAUGGCGAAGAAAACACGGAAAUUUGUUCAUUUUUUUUAAAUUAGCGAUAGUUAAUAAGUGAAAACGACGUUUGAACAAAUGAGUUUUACAGUUGAGAUCAAGGGGAAUACGUUCAUCAAAAAAUAAAGACGGGAAUCAGCUGCCUAACAUGUGAAAAACGAAACGGCAAUGUGUGAAAUCACUCAUCGUGGUUUGAGCUACGGCAAUGAAUAUAUACGGUGGCGGAUCUCUCGCAGAUUAUUCCGCCUUCUCGCUCAUGUAGAGUAGGUCGAAUUUUUUUAUGAAAAUAUUUCAGAGUACAUAAUGGAACUUAGAAAUAAUUGGGAGAAAUAGGCCCACUUUGACGGAGAAAUAGGCCCACUUUAAAAAUAUUUUUAAAGUGGGCCUAUUUCGUAGGGGCCUAUUUCGUCCAGGCCUAUUUGCCGGGCCUAUUUCGUCGGGGCCUAUUUCGACCGGGCCUAUAUCUCCGCCAACCGACGGGGCUUGCAGAGGUCGGCUACUGCUGUAGUAUUAUAUUAGCGAAUAGAGUAAAAGUAAAGUACUAAUAGAAAAAAAAGUACAGUACACUCAAUAUUCGAGGUAAAUACUGAUGUUGACAAUCAUCACAAUCUAUUCGCCGACAUAAAGCAAAUAGACACUUGCACCGCGCCCGAGCAGUUCAACUUUUCUAUCUCUGUGAUUUCGGUAGUUCCAGAGUGCACAGUCGAAUAUUGUGUGUUGUGCUUCUCGUUUUCAACAACAAGAAUUGUGGAUUUUUUCAUUCUCGAGCUAAAUUAAAUUUGUGUAAAUGAUUGGCAACAUGUAACUCUUGAAUUUGUGAGAAAGUCCUUCUUUUUGAACCGCCAUUUAAUCAGUACUACCUGUUUCACCUGAAACUUACAGGAUGCCGUCGGCUCCAGCUCAUAAUUAUGAGGCAGAUAGCAUUUCAAAAAUCUCAUGAAUCGUUAGGUCGUCGUAGUGUUUUGUAUGACUAUAAAUUUACGUAAGCUGAAAUUCAACAUCCUCGAUGACUUGAUUUUGUGCGCCAGAUCCCAUACUACGCCAAAUCAUCUCACCUGCAUUCCAGCAAGUGAAAAGCUUUGUUCUUGAGCUUUGUUCUUGAUGCUUUGACCAGUUUCGACAUGAACGGGUUGGUAGCAAAUUAUACCCUGACCUAUUAUUAAAUCUUUAUCGACCAUAUCACCAACAGCAGACUGGUUAAGACAAGAGUUCGUUCCUGCGUUGGGUAAACUUGUUAUGCAAAAAUGAUCCACCAGGGUCGUUUCCAAUCGCCUAUGACCCUGUCUGAGAGAACCUUGAAAUCGAAAUUCCCCGCAUUGCUGGGAACAGACCAAUAUCAAAGACUGCUAUUUACCUGUCAACAGUUUCAUUCUAUACUGAACAGAUGCAUGCAUGUGCGUGAAUAAAUAUUCGGGUAAAGAUUAAAUAACGAUCAUUGUUACACAUUAUUUAUCCUUGAAUUGUUAUUCACGCACAUGCAGGCUUUAUUUAAAUGAGCUAUAUCUAAGAAUGAAUAAAAAAGUGGGAUCAUCGGUCAAAUUACCGGCCACAGGCCAGCCAUAGCCAUAGGCAUAGGUAAUCCGUGUUGACUCCUAGCUUCCUCCAUUAAGGGGUACAGCGUUCGAAUCGCAAUCGUGCAGCAAUCGAGCCAAGGUGAUUCAGACUACAUAUGGAACCCUACACAGUCUUGAAGCCCUUUUCGACCUGGAAUUAGCGUCAGACAAUCAUCCAAAUGGUCCGAUCCAGGUCCUGAUAAACUAGCCACUUCCACGACUCCACGACGACCUUAUACCAUUCGCACAUUUCUGCACCUAUGGUAUUCCACAGUAUAUGUUAUUUGAUGGUUAUAUUGAUCCUUACGAUAGUCUUGAAGCCAUUUUCGACCUGGAAUUAGCGUCAGACAAUCUCCAAAUGGUCCGACAACGUCCAUCACCAUAUAGCCACCAUUUAUCAUAUACUGUGGUAUCCCACAGUAACGGUGCUAGCGAACCAACACCGUUACUAUACUUGGAAUGUUUUAUCAAGUCUUUUAUACUGUUAAAUAGAUGUUGGAAAACAGCUACUGUCCGUUUUGGCAUCUGUUGGACCUUUAUGUUGGAUUUGGUAAAUGAGAUAGACUAAAUUGACGAAAAUAAAAAAUGAACAUUUUUCUUUCCUUAUCGAAUUAUUUAUUUAAUAGGAUUGAGUAUAUUUUAAAAAGAAUAUUAUUCAUGAAAAAUGGCAAAAUAUAGGAUUCGUAUGAUGUAAAUCACCGUUCCUGAAUGGAAUGCUAAAAGCCUGGAAUUUUCUGCCGCUAGGUGGCAGAUGGAUAGCUCAUUCAGUUGUAUCUAAUUUUCAACACAACAUGGUCUCCACGUACGUACGGAGAGGUCCGUACCAGAAAACGGCACCAUUUCCAGGGUUUUUAUUGGCUCAGUGGGAUGGUCACGUGACCAUCCUUUCAAGCCACGCAGUGGUGGAUAGGCCCCGAAAUUUCAGCAGCCGCCGUCGCAUUUGAAUCGGCAAUUGUUUUUUUUUCCUCGUUUGUUGUCAUUUUCGUUUUUAAUGGCGGCCUGCUGUCAUUUAAAAUGAAUAAAUAUAUUACUUUUAGAAAAGGGCCGACCUCUCGUGAAGAGAACGAUGGAAUUUAUAGAUUCGGCUGGGAAACUUGUCGAGAAAGCUUUUUUGCUUUUUUAGAUAAACUGACACGAGAGUUUGGUACCUUCUCAAACAGGCAUAAUUUCAAUCUAAUUAAUUGUAUCUGAGAUUUUUUUACCAGAUUUUUUUACUAACAGGGUUUGUACAACUUCAAUCUGGAUAAAAGUAGAUUGAAUUCUAAUAGAUUGAACUCCUUCUAUAUUUACUGCAGGAGCCCUCACUUUUGCCGUAGCAAAACUGUUGGCAACUGGUCUUGUAAAUCUGAACAGGGUAGAAGUUCUUUAGCAUCCUGUAACAAAUCACCUGCUGGAAGUCAUCAUCCACACCCAUACUGCCCUCUUCGCUUUAUUGUUUUCGAUGAGUGACAAAACAGAGACAAAAGAAUGCUGCGUGAAUGGAUUCUGUCACUGUCCAUGGUAUAGGCUGUUGUAUUCUCGUAAUAUAAUUGAGGUGUUAAUCGAACUGACCCCAUGGGAAUCUUUCAACCCCUAAUGGAUUCUUAAAAGGUUCGUCGUUUGCUCGUAAGCCAGUUUGAAUGGCAGGUGAAGGCCAGUGUCAAAAAAAAAAUAAUCGACUAACUUUUCGUUUUUAUGGCAUAGCAGUCUUGGUCCUGGUCUUGGUCUUGGUUGGUUUUUUUUAUCAGAUAACGGAAAUCCUCAGAUUAAUUAUUUAUUACCUCCAUUGGCUGCUGCCAUCGAGGAUGCGUUCGUCAGAUUGGCUGGUGAUGGUGAUAUCAGCGUAUUUGUUAUCCUUGUUGUAGCUGGGAGUAGAGUAAGCUGGUGCAGGUUAGCUAGUAGUAGGGUACUUUGGUGCAGGGAAGUUUGGGGUAGUAGUGAUAUAUCAAAUCUAUAAAUAUCUAUAAAUAUCUCAACCCCUGUAUAUGCUGUACAUGCAAAGUAACAUGUGCAAAUUCGAGCGCGUGUCCGUCCUGGUGUCGAAGACGUUUCAUCAUUUUUAUGUAUAGCUCGGGACAAAGAUCGGCAUUAACUCACGAUUUCUUCAUGUUGAUUUAUUCAUAUCAGCUCCUCGCGUAUUUCAUUCUUUUUUCAUAUUUGAAUUGGUUAAACAUAGCGGUAAUCUCCUCCUAUAAACCACUUUAAACGUUUAGCAUUAAUUGAUGUUUUAAAGUUGAUUUUUUUGGGCGUUAUUGGCUAACAUCGUUUUCUUUUGUUGUUGUGGCUCUCCCGCAUCUAUUCGGCCGAUCCAAACUAAUACACAACGCCAGUUUUAUUUCGAAAGUGACGAGACCGAUGUGCCUUGUGCCACAUUUCACUCAACUUUUCUUUCUGGUUUUUCCAGCUGCGAUAACUAUAUAAUAGAGUCUGUGAUUACUUAAUGCGUCCGCGUUCUAUAUACCACAGCCGUUGGGCCGGUAUUCGUCCAGCUCAACAUCCAUUUCAAUUACAGCCAACAGGUGUGCGCCAUUAUCGAUUUUUCAUUAUACACUUCAUUAACAGAUUUAUUUGUGUUUCUAUACACGCUCCAAGUUGGGUUAACCUAAAUAAAAAAUGUCAUCGUA